UACAGAGGUCUCAAGCGUUGUUCGGAUUCAUUGGGCGUAAAGGGUGCGUAGGCGGCGCGGUAAGUCGGGUGUGAAAUCUCGGAGCUUAACUCCGAAACUGCAUUCGAUACUGCCGUGCUUGAGGACUGGAGAGGAGACUGGAAUUUACGGUGUAGCGGUGAAAUGCGUAGAUAUCGAGAGGAACACCGGUGGCGAAGGCGGCCAACUGGACGAAUACUGACGCUGAGACUCGAAAGCGUGGGGAGCAAACAGG
rnacentral:rRNA from 1 species